CCCAGGCAAAAAAUUUAGUAAUUAAACCCAUUAUGGCAGGGGCUGGCCCGGAUGACUGCCACAGCAAACUCCGCAGCUCAUGGGUCCUGGGUUCCCUGCCUUGGGACCUGGGGAUAAGUUUGGCUACGGACAGGG
rnacentral:snoRNA from 1 species